rnacentral:lncRNA from 1 species
GGUCUUUCACCUCCUUGGUUAAGUAUAUUCCUAAGUAUUUUAUUAUUAUUUUUUGCAUGUAUUCUAAAAGAGAUGGAGUUCUUGAUUCAUGUGAUUUUUGUUUUUAAUUGUUUAUAUGGUGUGUCAUUUAUUGACUUGUGGAUAUUAAACCAUCCCUGCAUCCCUGGUAUGAAACCCACUUGAUCAUGGUGUAUUAUCUUUUUGAUAUGCUGUUGGAUUCUGUUAGCUACUUGAAGAUUUUGCAUCUAUGUGCAUUAGGGAUAUUGGCCUGUAGCUUUCCUUUUUUGUCGUGUCCUUUCCUGGUUUUGGUAUUUGGGUGAUAUUGGCUUCAUAGAGAGAUUUAGUGAGGAUUUCCUCUUCCUCUAU